rnacentral:rRNA from 1 species
CCUACGGGAGGCAGCAGUGGGGGAUAUUGGACAAUGGGGGAAACUCUGAUCCAGCGACGCCGCGUGAGUGAAGAAGUAUUUCGGUAUGUAAAGCUCUAUCAGCAGGGAAGAAAGUAAUGACGGUACCUGAGUAAGCAGCCCCGGCUAACUACGUGCCAGCAGCCGCGGUAAUUCGUAGGGAGCAAGCGUUAUCCGGAAUUACUGGGUGUAAAGGGAGCGUAGACGGUAAAGCAAGUCCGAAGUGAAAGACGGGUGACCAACCCGCGGACUGCUCUAGAAACUGUGUAACUGGAGUGCAGGAGAGGCAAGCGGAAUUCUUAGUGUAGCGGUGAAAUGCGUAGAUAUUAGGAGGAACACCAGUGGCGAAGGCGGCCUGCUGGACUGUAACUGACGUUGAGGCUCGAAAGCGUGGGGAGCAAACAGGAUUAGAUACCCCUGUAGUC